CAGAGCCUUGCUCCGUCCCCCAUGCUGGAGUGCAGUGGCACGAUCUCGGCUCACUGCAACCUCCACCUCCCGGGUUCAAGCGAUUCUCCUGCCUCAGGCUCCCGAGUAGCUGGGAUUACAGAUGAUGAUUAUUCCCCACCUUCUAAGAGACAAAGACCAACGAGCCACCACAGCCACCAGUCCCAGAACCUGCCAAUGCUGGGGAACGGAAAAUGAGGGAGUUCAACUCUGGCCCUCACAAUCCAGUGGAGGAGACGAAACUCAUCUGCCUCUGUCCCUCUGGGCACGCCUCAUGCCAGGUGCAUCUGUGGACAGGGGCCAUGCUCCUGGGCUUCCAAAGUUGGAGAAAGCUGCCAGGCUCAGGUCUGAAGGCCAGAAUUCUACAAGAAAUGGAAUCAUCGUAUCGCUGAUCUACGUAAACAAACUGAAGAAUUGUCUGAAAGAAAAUAUGACAUGAACUUAUGAAUUCAACAGGUGAAGAUUUACAACUUGAUAAAUCAACUUUGUCAGCUCGAGCUGUAAAAGCCAAAGUGGAGAUGCGGUUUCACCAUGUUGGCCGGGCCAGUCUCGAACUCCUGACGUCAAGUGAUCUUCCCGCCUCGACUCCUGAUAUCAAGUGAUCUUCCCGCCUCGGCCUCCCAGAGUGCUGAGAUUACAGACGUGAACCCAUGCCUGGCCAGGAAUUUUGUUUUUUAGGAAGGCUUUCUACUAAUGGAAUUCCUGGCCUUGAGAGGAUGUUACUUUAGAAGGAAAGGAUUUUUUUGUUAUUAAAAGAGCCACCUAAGCUGAAGAUUCCCUUGAGAACAAGUACUGUCCCUAGUUUCCCAGUGCUGGAAUAUAGAAAAUGGAUGGACAAGUAAAUCCCACUCAGCACCCAUAGUCCAGGCAUGGGGACCUCAACACACCUGAGCCCCAGACAUCACCUUUCAUUCUGGACCUACCAUGAAAGACUUCUGAAUCCAGGAAGAGAAACUGACUGGGCAACAUGUUAUUCAGAUGGGGUCUUCUUAUGUUGCCCAGGUUGGUCUCAAAUUCCUAGGCUCAAGUGAUUCCGCCCACCUCUGCCUCCCAAAGUGCUGGGAUUACGGGCAUGAGCCAGUGCAUCUGGCCACCUUAUUUUCUAUUACUGGCUCAAUGUAAUGGCUCCAUCUCAGGAACAGCCAAUGAAAGAGAUGCACAGGACAAGAAACAGGACCUUGCCCUGUCACUCAGGAUGGAGUUCAGUGGUCCUAUCAUGGCUCAUUAUAGCCUCAAACUCCCAGGCUCAAGCAAUCCUACCAUGUCAGCCUUCCCAGUAGCUGGAACUACAGGCUGGAGUACAGUGGCACAACCUCUGCUCACUGCAGCCUCCACCUGCCAGGCUCAAGCAAUUCUCCUGCCUCAGCCUCCCGAGUAGCUGGGAUUACAGGAAGUGCGCUCACAAUGACUCAAGCUGCCACAUACUGUUGAUUGUGAAAUGCCAGUUGAAGCAUAUGUCCUGCAAGCUUAGGGGUGCUACAAGUUGACCACUGCAGCAGUAAAGAUGACUCUGAAGAAUGGCGUGGGAUGGUUCCUUUCAAAUGCACUUGAGCAGCGGUCUCCAACCACAGGGCCACAGAGCUGGAGCUGGAUCUACCAUGAAAGACUUGUGAAUCCAGGAAGAGAGACUGACUGGGCAACAUGUUAUUCAGGCUCACCUGGAUAUUAAGACUGAGUCAAAUGUUGGGUCUGGUCUGACUUUAAUGUUUGCUUUGUUCAUGAGCACCACAUAUUGCCUCUCCUAUGCAGUUAAGCAGAAUCUCCCUGUGCCAUCCAGGCUGGAGUGCAGUGAUGUG
rnacentral:lncRNA from 1 species